UUUGGCUUCGAUAGCAUGUUGAACCAGUUCCCGAUGGAUCACUGAAGUUAAACAACGUUGCGCGUGGUUGGUAUCCGGAUGGGUGACCGUAUGCACCCUGUCGAAAUGUUUAAA
rnacentral:rRNA from 1 species